UCCCACAAUGCAGUAGAACUUGAGACGGCGGGUGGCGGACAUGUCGGGAACUGCUCGUCUAUCAAGUUUCUCCACAGAAGAGCUAGUUAAAAAAUAACUGAUGCUGGAAUACAAAUAAAUGAAGAGGAAGGAAAUUUGGGGGUUUUUGACGAGGUUGACUGAAUCCAUCCUUCAACACACAGCUUCUGUCAUGGCUUCAGGGAGGGCUUCACCACUGUUUUACCAAAUGUGCUGAAACUUGCUGAGGGAAAAUCUCUCCUUGCAAAACAGCACACUGAUGCAAGGCAGGAUGCCCCAGCUGAAGAUCUACCAGGAAUCGACUUUAGGGCUGGACUUAUCCUCUUACCAUCCAUCUUCAGAGAAAAGAUCGAACACUGCAUCACCGUGAGAGAGGUAGGCAUCUGAGUCGCCUUAUACUGACCUCAGGGGACCCUGCUACACUCCAUCCAACCAUACAACUGACUGACAAUGACUGGGAAAUGGCAAACACAGCAAGAGAACUCAGUGUGGUCAAAGUAGAUGGAGUAGAUGUGUGCCAGUGUGCAGGCCGUGAUGAAGCCUUCAUAACAGCCCUCAGUAUGUAUUUUGUUUUCAACAGUGCAUACCCACCACACCUGAGAAGCACACUCACCUUCCUCCAGGGGCGUAUUGUUGGUAUUGUGGAGGAGGGAGACGCGCCCCUGCCAGUGACAGUAC